rnacentral:rRNA from 1 species
AUGAACAAUCUUUUGACGGAUUCUUUUGAAAUGGACGAGAAGCCCCCAAAGGAGAGGGAUAUCGAGAUGGGGCGCCAGAACUCCAAGAACAAAUCAGAUUAUGGACUCGAAGACUUCUUCAAAGAGGUCAAAGAGAUCGAGAUGCUGCUGGACAAGAUGUCUAAUAUAGUUCAAAAACUUCAGGAAGCCAAUGAGGAGUCAAAAUCAGUCACUAAGGCCUCUGCAAUGAAAGCAAUCAAGGGACGCAUGGAGAAAGACAUCGAUGAAGUAGGGAAGAUCGCACGAAGCAUAAAAGUGAAGCUAGAGCAAAUGGACAGAAAUAAUCUUGCUAACAGGAAGAAGCCAGGUUGUGGGAAGGGCACAAGUGUAGAUCGAUCGAGGAUGUCGAUGACCAUUGCACUGAAGAAGAGGCUUAAAGAAAGAAUGAACGAUUUCCAGAAUUUGAGGCAAACUAUCCAGCAAGAGUAUCGAGAAGUUGUUGAGAGAAGGUUCUUCACAGUCACUGGAACAAAGCCUUCUGAUGAGGUGAUUGAUAACCUGAUUGAGACCGGAAGCAGCGAACAGAUCUUCGAGAAGGCAAUUCAAGGAAUUGGCCGAGGGCAGAUUAUGGCCACGGUUGAAGAAAUUCAGGAACGGCAUGAUGUAGUGGUGGAUAUUGAAAAAAAGCUUCUAGAAUUGCAACAGAUUUUUGCAGACAUGGCAGCGCUUGUCGAUGCACAAGGAGAGAUAUUGGAUAACAUAGAGAGCCAGGUUCAGAAUGCUGUAAACCACGUGCAAACUGGUACCGAAGCGUUGCGCAGCGCCAAGAGCCUGCAGAAGAAGUCAAGGAAGUGCAUGAUGAUCGCAAUUAUCUUGCUUCUCAUCAUCGCGGUGAUCAUUGUGCUUUCAGUUUUAAAGCCUUGGGCUAAGUAG